rnacentral:rRNA from 1 species
UGGGGAAUUUUGGACAAUGGGCGAAAGCCUGAUCCAGCAAUGCCGCGUGUGUGAAGAAGGCCUUCGGGUUGUAAAGCACUUUUGUCCGGAAAGAAAUCCUUGGCUCUAAUACAGUCGGGGGAUGACGGUACCGGAAGAAUAAGCACCGGCUAACUACGUGCCAGCAGCCGCGGUAAUACGUAGGGUGCGAGCGUUAAUCGGAAUUACUGGGCGUAAAGCGUGCGCAGGCGGUUUGCUAAGACCGAUGUGAAAUCCCCGGGCUCAACCUGGGAACUGCAUUGGUGACUGGCAGGCUAGAGUAUGGCAGAGGGAGGUAGAAUUCCACGUGUAGCAGUGAAAUGCGUAGAGAUGUGGAGGAAUACCGAUGGCGAAGGCAGCCCCCUGGGCCAAUACUGACGCUCAUGCACGAAAGCGUGGGGAGCAAACA